rnacentral:lncRNA from 1 species
CGCUCACGUUGCGGCAGAAGUCCACGUGCAAUGUCUGCAGCGCGCGCCCGUCCGCCGCCACGGCAGCCAACGUGCGGUUGGUGACGCGCGCGCAGUUCUCCAGGCGCAGUGCGCGCAGGCGUGGGCAGCAGCGCAGCAGGCGCGCCAGGCAGUCGUCGGUAACGUGGCCGCAGCCCGAGAGCGUGACGGACGCCAGGUUGGGGCACCUGUGAGGAGAGUGCGGUGACCCGGGGCUCACUGGCUUGUUAAAGCUACCCAACCGCCCCAUGGGACCGAGUGGACUCAUUUACCGAGGAGGACUCGGGCCCUGCGAGGUCACUUCAUCCUGGCCCAGGUACUGCAGCUCCAAAUCGUGGGGAUUCUGUAAGAGCUUGCUACCUGUUGACUGAGGAGGCCCACGAGUUGAGAAGAACUAGCAAGAGUGGUACAAAACUGCAGGUCAUUGGGCUGGCCACCAGGUAUUCCCACCCACCAGAAGCUGGCUGUUGUACUCACCCGGAACCAUGGUGCACCACCACAGCGGCGAGGUCAUACAGGCAGCUCUCCGGGCCACUGUUCUCAGGCUACAGAACAAGGAAGAAGGAGCAGUGGUCAAUGACAUCAGUAUCUCGAUGACCUCUACCCUCUCCAUGUGAUGACAAUCUUACUGAAGAGCCAUUUUUUCACCAUGCUAAAAAGGGAAGAGGAGCACAGCAGUAACGCUGAUGGGAAGAAGGUGCUGACAGAUGGACUCACUGGGGUCACGGCAACAAUCGACAGUACAGGUGGCAAACAUUGUGUAAAAUACUCCAAAUCCAAGACACACAUUUAUAAAAGUCUGUAACAGGUGAAAGAAUAAACUCCAGCUGCCCUCAACACCUAGGGCAUGGAGACCUCCCUGACUGCUUCGUCAGGCCUACUGGGGCCCACACGUAUUUGAAGUUAACCGAGGAGCUCUACUUCCUUGGAAAUCCCCAUUGCUCCUCCAGCAGAGGUGGGCUGGACACUGCUCCUGGCAAAGCUGGCCGGGAAGAUGCAGCCCGUGGGACACUCCCCACCACCACUCUCACAGUCUGAC